UGAAAUCUAAUGGCUCAACCAUUAAACUGCUUGGGAAACUGAUAAUCUAGAGUGAGGGAGAGGCAGAUGGAAUUGGUGGUGUAGGGGUAAAAUCCGUAGAUAUCACCAAGAAUACCCAUUGCGAAGGCGAUCUGCUGGAACUUAACUGACGCUAAGGCGCGAAAGCGUGGGGAGCAAACAGGAUUAGAUACCCUGGUAGUCCACGCCCUAAACGAUGUACACUAGUUGUUGGGAUGCUAGUCAUCUCAGUAAUGCAGCUAACGCAUUAAGUGUACCGCCUGGGGAGUACGGUCGCAAGAUUAAAACUCAAAGGAAUAGACGGGGACCCGCACAAGCGGUGGAGCAUGUGGUUUAAUUCGAAGAUACGCGAAGAACCUUACCUGGGCUUGAUAUCCUAAGAACCUUAUAGAGAUAUGAGGGUGCUAGCUUGCUAGAACUUAGAGACAGGUGCUGCACGGCUGUCGUCAGCUCGUGUCGUGAGAUGUUGGGUUAAGUCCCGCAACGAGCGCAACCCACGUAUUUAGUUGCUAACGGUUAGGCCGAGCACUCUAAAUAGACUGCCUUCGUAAGGAGGAGGAAGGUGUGGACGACGUCAAGUCAUCAUGGCCCUUAUGCCCAGGGCGACACACGUGCUACAAUGGCAUAUACAAUGAGACGCAAUAUCGCAAGGUGGAGCAAAUCUAUAAAAUAUGUCCCAGUUCGGAUUGUUCUCUGCAACUCGAGAGCAUGAAGCCGGAAUCGCUAGUAAUCGUAGAUCAGCCAUGCUACGGUGAAUACGUUCCCGGUUCUUGUACUCACCGCCCGUCACACCAUGGGAGUUGAUUUCACUCGAAGCCGGAAUACUAAACUAGUUACCGUCCACAGUGGAAUCAGCGACUGGGGUGAAGUCGUAACAAGGUAACCCG
rnacentral:rRNA from 1 species